UUGUUUAUAAUAAACUGAAAUAUUUGGGACUGAUCUUGACACUCUUAACAUGUUUUGGCAGACAUCAAGAUCAGUCCCAAAUAUUUCAGUUUAUUAUAGACAG
rnacentral:miRNA from 1 species